UCGGAUUAGCUAGUUGGUGGGGUAAAGGCUCACCAAGGCGACGAUCUGUAGCUGGUCUGAGAGGAUGGCCAGCCACACUGGAACUGAGACACGGUCCAGACUCCUACGGGAGGCAGCAGUGGGGAAUAUUGGACAAUGGGCGCAAGCCUGAUCCAGCCAUGCCGCGUGUGUGAAGAAGGCCCUCGGGUUGUAAAGCACUUUAAGCGAGGAGGAAGGUCAUCAUGCUAAUAUUAUGAUGAAUUGACGUUACUCGCAGAAUAAGCACCGGCUAACUCUGUGCCAGCAGCCGCGGUAAUACAGAGGGUGCAAGCGUUAAUCGGAAUUACUGGGCGUAAAGCGCGCGUAGGCGGUUUGUUAAGUCGGAUGUGAAAUCCCUGGGCUCAACCUAGGCACUGCAUCCGAUACUGGCUAACUAGAGUGUGGGAGAGGAAGGUAGAAUUCCAGGUGUAGCGGUGAAAUGCGUAGAGAUCUGGAGGAAUACCGAUGGCG
rnacentral:rRNA from 1 species